AGACUCGGUGGCGGAGCGCACCGACUGCCGCCAGGAUGAGGAGGCUGCAGCAACGCACGCCGACGAUGUUGUGGAGGCCGGUGGGAGUGAGAAGACCGAGGCAAAGCCCCGGGCUGGGGACAUGAGGACGAGGCGGCCCCAGUACCUGAGGUGGAGGAGGAGGAGGAGGCGGGCCAGCCCCUUGAAAAUGGCCAGGAGGAGUCCCCAGCCAUCGCCUGGGCCGAGCCGGAAGACGAGCCUGGCCCCAAGGUGGACGGGGCGGACGAUGAAAUCUCUUGGAGCUUGGAGAGUGUGUGUGAGAGCGACCUC